AUAGCGCCCCAUAUCUGCCCCAUAGUGCCCCACAGCACCCCAUAGCCACCCCAUAGUGCCCCAUAACCACCCCAUACCAUCCCAUAGUGCCCCAUAGCACCCCAUAGUGCCCCAUAGCACCCCAUAGCCACCCCAUAGUGCCCCAUAUCUGCCCCAUAGUGCCCCAUAGCACCCCAUAGCCACCCCAUAGCGCCCCAUAACCACCCCAUACCACCCCAUAGCGCCCCAUAACCACCCCAUAGUGCCCCAUAGCACCCCAUAGCCACCCCAUAGCCGCCCCAUAGCACCCCAUAGCCAC